GCUAAUGUAGUUUAAAUUUAGAAUGUGUAACUUGUAAUUAUGAGGUUAAAUUAGCA
rnacentral:tRNA from 1 species